ACAUCCAAGUAUGACAAGUUAGUGGGACCAAUCUGGGGGGGGGGAAGCAUCAAGAGAACAGGGCAGACCCACAGAACUGGGCUCACCCACCCUUUCUUUCGGUGUGCCCAUGGGCAGCCUCCUUGCUCCUGCCAUGCUGCCCCAGCCUGCUCCCUUCCUUCCAACCUCCUAGGGAGACAGGCUCAGCGUUUCCGUUGUUAGGGGCAGGAGCUUUGUCCUCAUGACCUGGCCAAAAUGGAGCCUGCAAUAGGUGCUUAUACUUAUAAAGACCCGCUGGAUUCAGUGCAGCUGUUAGCAAGUGCUGGUCCCAACAGACCCCUCCCAGUGGGCAGAGGCAGGGCCUCCAGGAGAGAGGAGCAUCCAUCCCUAAAACAAACCACCUGGAUUCCUCUUACUUCUCCUCCCAGCCUCUGUCCGCUCCCCCAAACUCAGACACGGUCUCUUGCCUGGGCUUCCGCUGCCUCCCUUCCUCUGACCCCUCCACCCUACCCUCCAUCUCCAUCAGUCUGGAAGGAACUUGGAGAGCCACAGAGCUGACGUCCAGUCACCUAUUGAAAGCAGCCCUCAUCGGCACCCUUCCUUUCUUUCCGUCCUAAGGCCCACACCUGACCCCUGCACCUCAGGACCAGGCUCUGCAGCCUCCCUGAGCCCCUGUCCGACCCCUGCUCCUAGGACUGUUUGUAUCUGUUGUCAUGAGACAGGAGGAGGAUGUGCUAUUUCCCACCACCCUUGUCUUGCUGGCCCCUCUGCCUGGAAUGGCCUUCCUCUGCCCAGUGGCAAACAGACUUUCAAGGUUCAGUUCCAGUGUCCCCGCUGCAAUCCCCCAAACAGAGUGAGCGGUUCCUUCCAUCUACUUCCAAGAACUGGAAAGUUCCUGUCUUGUCGCGCUCACUGUGGGACCACGGCAUUGGUUCCCACCCAGCUGUGAGUUCCUGCAGGGUCAGGCAUGUGCUGGGUCCAUGUUGGCACAGAGCAGGGGCCAGCAGGUGCUUGCUGUGAAUAGGAACGUUUAGCAGACCCCGGGAGAGGAGACAGUGUUACCACACUUGUUCUCCGCUUCGCCUGCGGGUGCCUUUAAGAGGCACAGAUUUCUAAACCUUGCCAAGCUGAUCCGCUGAACACCUCUACAUUCCCGGCUGCCUUGUUGGCUCCCUGGGACACGGCAGCUGUCCUGUGUCUGUAAACAGAUAAUAGCUCCUCUGACUCUAGGUGUCUCUCCACGGCCCUUUGUGGCCAGGCCUGGGCUGCAUACCCAUGGGCACCCCCUCCCAUUCAAUCUCACAGACAGGACGCCAGGCUGGACAGUCCUCACCAACACCCCUCCAGCCAGCUAGCCAGCCUCCUUUCAACUCUGCAUUGCCCUGAGUUUGUGUGGGGUUGUUGAGUUCCCAGCAGGUCCUCCGGAUGUGCAUGUAGGUAGUUAGGGGAAUGGAGUGGGAGGAUAGGAGCCCAGACACUUGAAAUGGUGUUCCAUGCCUUUCUAGACCCCAGGCCCUUUCCUACAUGAUUUUAUCAGCACAUGCUCAGUACUUCACGGUUUACAAAGCACUUCUAGAUCCAUCCAACCCCGCGAAGGAUGAGGAUCACUGGCGCUCUGUUUUCCUGUGGUGGGGGGAACUGGCUUCCAGGAGACAUAGUGACUGACCAAGGUCUCGAGGUCUCGUGCUGGUGGAGUGCAGAGCCAGGAUCCACCUGAGGCCCCCGGCUGCCUCCAGAUCCCACACUCCUUCCUUGGCACUUCCUUGGUUCUGCACGGUGCCUCAACACUCCCCAAAACAUCCCAUUUUGCAGGUGUGGAAACCCAUGUCCCGCAGAGGCUGGGUGUUUGCUCCACUCAGUUCUGGGGACUUAGCUUGAGGCUCUCUGAUCUGUUCUCCUGCCGAGCACCCCAGGAAGGGCUCCAGGUCUCCCAGCCACUUAGUAAGAGUGGCAAGUCCUGUCUCACUUGAUCUUUGGGAGCAUAAGAGGGGAUCACAGAAAACGUCAUCAAUGUGAAAGUGUUUUGUAAACCAAGGCGCUGCUCAAACAUAGCGUUAUCUUCAGCCUGGCUACUGGCUUCCUACAAAGUGUGAAGGGAUGAAGGUAAAAGCUCUUUCUUGAAUAAUGUUAUCCAUCAAGACAGAUGAAACCACACCGGUCAGCUCCUCCUGCCCUUCCCCCCACCCCCCACCUCCCCUUCAUUCCAACAUGUUUAAAGACAUUCGUAGGCUGAGAAAUGAUACCUGCUGCUCCUCUGACACCCGGAAUGUGCCUUGUGAUUGGCAGAGUGUCCCUCCAGAAUAGCUUAAUUUUUUUCCCAUUUCUUGAGCAAUGUCUUCUACUCCUUGGCCCUGUAAUUGAGAAUUGGGCUUGCAAUGGCCAGCACACGAGCAUCUUCCCUGAAAGCUCAGAAAUGAUGGCUCUCACGGCAGGGAGCUGGCAUUCCCCAUGGCCGAGAGCACUGUCCUCCUCGCACGAAGGGAUCAUUCACCACUGUGUGUAUUAACCUGAAAUCCACCUCACCUUGAUGGAUAUUUUUGCCAAUCUCCCAUUUGGUUUGAUGAAUGUGAGAGAAAUUUUCCCAUAUGUCAUAUGAAUUUCUCCCUCACAAAAUAAGUCUAAAUUUUUUUCUGUUCCUGGAGAUGAAGGAGCUCUGCAGAAUAGGCCACGUCUUCAAUUACCUUUAUCUCUAGUAGCCAAAAGUCUUGAUUUUUAUAUAACUGGAAAAACGAUGCAGCAUAAUGCGUAUACACACACACACACACCCCCACGUGCACACACACACACACAGAGCACCGUUGGGCUUUGGUAGAAAAUGGCAAAAUUACGAUGUUUUUCUUAUUUCUGGUGAUUGGUGUCCGAGUGUUAUUUAGAGAGCGGAGUGGAAAGGGCUCUUUGCAGCCCUGCGGUGGUGUCUUGCGCUCACCAAGAGGCUCACGGGAAACAUUUCCUCCAACAUGAAGGUGUUUGCUAAGAUUCCAACCAGGACCCAGUCUUGGGCCACAGAACACUGUCUGCUCCCCCAGUCCCCUCACAGACCGCAGGGAUAUUUUCCCUUCAGAACCCCUUGCAUCAGAAUGGGGAAAGCGAGGGCCGAGAAUCCCAGAAGAGGCCGUGAACUGUUCUGGAAAAGCGAGGGCUUUGCAGUCAGACCUUCAUAUGCACUUUGUUCUGUCUGUCGCGCUUUCCCUAAAUGACCACGGGCCAGUGACUUUACCUCUCUGAUCCCUGCUCCUUGCCUCGAUAGUGGGGAUCUCAUCAUAAUGUAUGUAAAGAGCCAGGUGCGGGACUUGGCACCUGGGAAGUGUCUUAAUACACGUCUGUCGAGAAAAGGAAGGGCUCGACGUGCGGAAACAAGACAGAUGCCAGGAAAUACGUCUGCCCACCUCCACGCCCCUGACAGCCGAGGCUCCUGGAGGUCUGGUGAGAGGCCCCAGCCCUCUCCGCUCUGUGCUGAGCUCUGCCUUUAAGAGACUGCAGCUCCUGCCUCUUAAAAGCCUUUAAAAAUUCUUUAUUAAAUUUUCAUGGCGCAUAAAGCCAAGGUUCUGUUACUUGGCCUCAGUUGUCUUGGCAACUUCGUAAAACGCAAUAAUAAAACAAAACUGAGUGUUGCUAAACACAGGCUCAUUGUAUAAACGA
rnacentral:sRNA from 1 species